rnacentral:rRNA from 1 species
AGGACGAACGCUGGCGGCGUGCCUAAUGCAUGCAAGUCGAGCGACGGAUAGGUGCGGGUAACCAAGCCUAUUACGGAGCGGCGAACGGGUGAGUAACACGUGAGCAACCUGCCCCGCAGAUCGGGAUAGCCCAGGGAAACUUGGAUUAAUACCGGAUAUUCUCCUUUAACCACAUGAUUGUUGGAGGAAAUGUCUUUUGCGCGUACGGGAUGGGCUCGACGGCCUAUCAGUCUUGGUUGGUGGGGUAACGCCUACCAAGGCUACGGACGGUAGCUGGGUCUGGAGGAGGACGACUCGACGCCACACCGUGGGAACUGACGACCGACGGACCCAGACCUCCGUACGGGAGGCAG